AAAUUUGUGAAAUCGCCCCAAAAAGGAUGCUUAAGUAUAUACAAAAUCUCAAAUGGCAAUAGUGUAAUAGUGUAAGUGUCUGCCAGGUUCCUCUGUUUCAAAAAUAAGCCAACUACGUGUUUUAAAAGAACAUUUUUGUUAUGCUUAAACAAUUAAUAAUCAAUUCGCAGUGACAAAUCAACCUCUUAUAUUUGUGAAAUUGCUCCGUUAAGGAAGCAGCUGGAGAGAGCGUCUUAUGCACAUACAUAGGCAAACUAAUUGUAAUAUUUCUUGCCGGUGCUUGAAACGAUCAAGAUUCUCGAUUUGAGAACUUUGCCUCUUUCAUCGGGGACUCAGUUUGGAUGAAGAAAAAAAGAGAGGCUGAUGUAAGUGUUUUCUGUUGGGGACACCGUUUGGAUAAAGAAAGAAUGAGAGGCAAAAAAAUGUCACGUCCCCAUAAUAGGCCAACACCUAUGGAUACGAUUGAAUGGAAUUGGAUGUGGUUUUACACCUUGUUUUGUGUGUGUAUGUGUGUGUUCCUAAAAAUUUAAUUAAGUGCACUUAAAAUACAAUUCGUGUAUUGCAUUUACGUUUCACUCAAAUGGAGCUCAAAAAAUGACAUCGAAAAAUUUGCUGCAUUUGCAUAUAAAUGGUAUGGCAGCUGA